rnacentral:rRNA from 1 species
UCCUAGUACGAGAGGACCGGAGUGGACGCAUCACUGGUGUUCGGGUUGUCAUGCCAAUGGCACUGCCCGGUAGCUAAAUGCGGAAGAGAUAAGUGCUGAAAGCAUCUAAGCACGAAACUUGCCCCGAGAUGAGUUCUCCCUGACCCUUUAAGGGUCCUGAAGGAACGUUGAAGACGACGACGUUGAUAGGCCGGGUGUGUAAGCGCAGCGAUGCGUUGAGCUAACCGGUACUAAUGAACCGU